rnacentral:rRNA from 1 species
UACGAAGGGGGCUAGCGUUGCUCGGAAUCACUGGGCGUAAAGGGUGCGUAGGCGGGUCUUUAAGUCAGGGGUGAAAUCCUGGAACUCAACUCCAGAACUGCCUUUGAUACUGAGGAUCUUGAGUUCGGGAGAGGUGAGUGGAACUGCGAGUGUAGAGGUGAAAUUCGUAGAUAUUCGCAAGAACACCAGUGGCGAAGGCGGCUCACUGGCCCGAUACUGACGCUGAGGCACGAAAGCGUAGGGAGCAAACAGG